CGGGAUGUGACUGUAGUCGAUGUGUGCAUGCACAGACAAGGAAAUGGAGGAGAGCUGAUCUUGAGUUCUGGAACCCAUUUGAAGCUAUUAAUAGAGCAGGCUGACUCUUUGAGAGGAGAUCUCUGCAUGAAAGCGACUAUCUUGGAAUCCUAGAAUGGAGCAGCCAUAGAGGGACACCAAGGAGGAUUCCAGGGGAAAUGCAGAGGGGAGGCUGUCAACAAUUCCUGAUGAAAUCUCUUUCCACCAGCACCCCAUAUCUUCCAAAAGGUUGGAGCCCUUUCAAAAACAUUGUAGGUCUCCUAGCAUCUCCUGUUCACUGGGCAAAGGUCCAUCUUCAUGCACAAGCAAUUAUUCAUAGCAUUCAGCCAUAUGAUAAGGAAUAUUUUAUUUAUUAUUUACAUUUAUAUACCACCCCUUCAU